CAUGCAGUCGAGCGCGGGAAGCAAGCAGAUCUCCUUCGGGAGUGACGCUUGUGGAACGAGCGGCGGACGGGUGAGUAACACGUGGGCAACCUACCUGUAAGACUGGGAUAACUCCGGGAAACCGGGGCUAAUACCGGAUGAAACAAAGCGUCGCAUGACGCAAUGUUAAAAGGCGGCAUAUGCUGUCACUUACAGAUGGGCCCGCGGCGCAUUAGCUAGUUGGUGAGGUAAAGGCUCACCAAGGCAACGAUGCGUAGCCGACCUGAGAGGGUGAUCGGCCACACUGGGACUGAGACACGGCCCAGACUCCUACGGGAGGCAGCAGUAGGGAAUCUUCCGCAAUGGACGAAAGUCUGACGGAGCAACGCCGCGUGAGUGAUGAAGGUUUUCGGAUCGUAAAACUCUGUUGUUAGGGAAGAACAAGUGCCAUUCGAAUAGGUUGGCACCUUGACGGUACCUAACCAGAAAGCCCCGGCUAACUACGUGCCAGCAGCCGCGGUAAUACGUAGGGGGCAAGCGUUGUCCGGAAUUAUUGGGCGUAAAGCGCGCGCAGGCGGUCCUUUAAGUCUGAUGUGAAAGCCCACGGCUUAACCGUGGAGGGCCAUUGGAAACUGGAGGACUUGAGUACAGAAGAGGAGAGUGGAAUUCCACGUGUAGCGGUGAAAUGCGUAGAGAUGUGGAGGAACACCAGUGGCGAAGGCGACUCUCUGGUCUGUAACUGACGCUGAGGUGCGAAAGCGUGGGUAGCGAACAGGAUUAGAUACCCUGGUAGUCCACGCCGUAA
rnacentral:rRNA from 2 species